rnacentral:rRNA from 1 species
UGGGGAAUAUUGGACAAUGGGGGGAACCCUGAUCCAGCCAUGCCGCGUGUGUGAAGAAGGCCUUAUGGUUGUAAAGCACUUUAAGCGAGGAGGAGGGUACUGGUAUUAAUACCACCAGGUACUGGACGUUACUCGCAGAAUAAGCACCGGCUAACUCUGUGCCAGCAGCCGCGGUAAUACAGAGGGUGCGAGCGUUAAUCGGAUUUACUGGGCGUAAAGCGUGCGUAGGCGGCUAAUUGAGUCGGAUGUGAAAUCCCCGAGCUUAACUUGGGAAUUGCAUUCGAUACUGGUUAGCUAGAGUGUGGGAGAGGAUGGUAGAAUUCCAGGUGUAGCGGUGAAAUGCGUAGAGAUCUGGAGGAAUACCGAUGGCGAAGGCAGCCAUCUGGCCUAACACUGACGCUGAGGUACGAAAGCAUGGGGAGCAAACAGG